UACGUAGGCAGCGAGCGUUGUUCGGAGUUACUGGGCGUAAAGCGUGCGUAGGCGGUUGUCUAAGUUUGGUGUGAAAUCUCCUGGCUUAACUGGGAGGGUGCGCCGAAAACUGGGUGACUGGAGUGUCGGAGAGGUAAGCGGAAUUCCUGGUGUAGCGGUGAAAUGCGUAGAUAUCAGGAGGAACACCGGUGGCGAAGGCGCUCAUCUGGCCCAAUACUGACGCUGAGGCGCGAAAGCUAGGGGAGCAAACGGG
rnacentral:rRNA from 1 species